AAGAUGAAUGCGAACUAGUGGAUACAUUGCAAUGUGGAAGGUUCUUUCUUUGCUGUGCUCUAGUCGUGUUCAUUGUGAAUCAUGAGGACGUCACUUUCUGACUUGACGCAUGCUGACUCAAGAUGUUUGUUAAGAUGAGUCAUUGCGCAUGCUUGAGCAGAUCAUUUAGCACUUCCGGACUAAUUUCCUUCUCUCGGGACUGAAGAGCUUCAAAUAUUAGGAGGGCGUCUGGCUUUGUCUCAGACACCCAACUAACUCAUCAGCCGCCCCAUCAUGCCAAGCCACCCCAACACCCUUCUGGCUAUUCUCAAGAAUCAUUCUUCAAGCAAUUAAAACUUUAACUUGUGUGUGUGUGUGUGAGAGAGAGAGGGAGAAGAAACAACAACAAUGCGUUAAAGAAAAAAAAAAGUGGUUUUCAGCCUAAAUUUCCAUGAAUCAUUUCAACAAAUUUGAAGAACAAAGAGGAGCCAGAUUUUUUAAAAAGUCUUGUUGCGUCUCGCACGUUACCACAGAGAAAUAAAUAAAUCAGUUGUUCACAACAUCUAUCAUAGUCGUGUAAAUA